rnacentral:rRNA from 1 species
UACGUAGGGUGCGAGCGUUAAUCGGAAUUACUGGGCGUAAAGUGUGCGCAGGCGGCAGAGCAAGUCGAGUGUGAAAGCCCCGGGCUUAACUUGGGAAUUGCGCUCGAAACUACUUUGCUGGAGUGUGACAGAGGGGGGUGGAAUUCCGACGUGUAGCAGUGAAAUGACGUAGAGAUGCGGCGGAACACCGAUGGCGAAGGC